AAAGCCUUUUCCAUCUUCAAGAAUCUUCCACGUUCCAGUACUUAAUAAUAUUUAUUUAGAAACUGAAUAUAAUUAAUCAAGAGUCUUUUAAUGGAGAGGAGACUACAAUCACAAGAUAGGCUUACUUACUCGAAACUGCUAAUCAAUGAACUACCCGUUAACCUAAGAUAAAUGCUGUACCACCAGGUUGAUCAUCAAGAAAAUACUCACAAUUAUAGUUUGAUAACACAUCACGCUCAGGCUUUGACAUCAUUGAUGACACCAACUAACAACUUUGUAUAACUAAGGAAAGUCCAUAAUAAAAAACUAAUACAAAUAUUGGUAUAUAUAGCACACAUCAAUUAUAUUUCAAAGGAAAAAAGUCCAUAAUGAAGAAGUAACACAAAUUGAUCUGAUAAAUAGAGUCAUCAAUUAUAUUUUAAAGAGGAUUAAAGGACGCACCCUUCCUCUCAAGAGUACUUUCCAACAAGUAAUUGAAGACUAGCUUUAUUUAAUAGAAAGCAUUCUAUACAAUAUGGUCCAGCAAUUGGAACUUAAUUAUUUAAAUAUCU